UGUCCAGGGAUGGGAAUCGAACCCACAGUGUUCCGCUUACCGGGCAGAUGCCAUGUCCACUAGGCUACCCUAGAC